rnacentral:sRNA from 1 species
AGUCGCACAGCUACCUGGUAGGUGCCUGGAGGUGUUGAUCAGUGCUCGCUGGCAUUUUGCUGAUGUGGCCCCAACCCUGCCUCCCUCCCCACUCUGCGAUGGCAGGAGAAACUCGACAGAGCAAAUUGGCAGCAGCCAAGAGAAAG